CCUACGGGUGGCAGCAGUGAGGAAUAUUGGUCAAUGGGCGGGAGCCUGAACCAGCCAAGUCGCGUGAGGGAAGACGGUCCUAUGGAUUGUAAACCUCUUUAGGCGGGGAGCAAGGCCGGGCACGGGUGCCCGUAGGGAGAGUACCCGCAGAAUAAGCAUCGGCUAACUCCGUGCCAGCAGCCGCGGUAAUACGGGGGCUGCGAGGGUUAUCCGGUUUUAUUGGGUUAAAGGGGUGCGUAGGUGGAUUUUUAAGUCAGCGGUAAAAUGUCCGGGCUCAACCCGGGCCGGCCGUUGAAACGGGGGAUCUUGAGUGGGCGAGAAGUAUGCGGAAUGCGUGGUGUAGCGGUGAAAUGCAUAGAUAUCACGCAGAACUCCGAUUGCGAAGGCAGCAUACCGGCGCCCGACUGACGCUGAGGAACGAAAGCGUGGGGAUCGAACAGGAUUAGAUACCCCUGUAGUC
rnacentral:rRNA from 1 species